rnacentral:rRNA from 1 species
GAUGAACGCUAGCGGCAGGCCUAACACAUGCAAGUCGAGGGAGAGGUUACCUACGGGUAACCAAAACCGGCGCACGGGUGCGUAACGCGUAUACAAUCUGCCUUUCACAUAGGGAUAGCCCGAAGAAAUUUGGAUUAAUACCUAAUGGUAUAUAAGAGCGGCAUCGUUUUUAUAUUAAAGCUACGGUGGUGAAAGAUGAGUAUGCGUUCUAUUAGCUAGUUGGAGAGGUAACGGCUCCCCAAGGCGACGAUAGAUAGGGGUUCUGAGAGGGAUGUCCCCCACACUGGUACUGAGAUACGGACCAGACUCCUACGGGAGGCAGCAGUGAGGAAUAUUGGACAAUGGUCGGAAGGCUGAUCCAGCCAUGCCGCGUGCAGGAUGAAGGUCCUAUGGAUUGUAAACUGCUUUUGUAAGGGAAGAAUAAGGAGUACGUGUACUUUGAUGACGGUACCUGACGAAUAAGCAUCGGCUAACUCCGUG